GAAAUGCGAUACGUGAUGUGAAUUGCAUACUCGUGAAUCAUCGAAUCUUUGAACGCAAAUGGCGCUCGGCCGCUUCGGUGUGCCGAGCAUGUCUGUUUGAGGGUCAGUUUUACCUGCUUUCGCAAGGCCCGCCCAGUUGUGGGUGUGUUUUUUUGCGAAGACGAUGCGCCGUUCACUUCCGCUCCCUCUUUUUUGGGGGGAAAGGAACAAAGCAUUUUGCAAUAGCGAACGUUCCGAGGUCCCGACCUUUUGUAUUUUUUAUACAAUAACGGGACCGGAAGGUGGUGUGUUGUUUCGACAACGCAAAUCUUAACGGAAGCAUCUCUGCUGCUUUUUCUUACCAACUUAAAUGACCUCAAAUCAGGCAAGAGCACCCGCUGAACUUAA
rnacentral:misc_RNA from 1 species